GACGAACGCUGGCAGCGUGCCUAAUACAUGCAAGUCGAGCGAAGUUUUUCUGGUGCUUGCACUAGAAAAACUUAGCGGCGAACGGGUGAGUAACACGUAAAGAACCUGCCUCAUAGACUGGGACAACUAUUGGAAACGAUAGCUAAUACCGGAUAACAGUAUUUCUCGCAUGAGAGAUAUUUAAAAGUUGGUUAUGCUAACACUAUGAGAUGGCUUUGCGGUGCAUUAGCUAGUUGGUGGGGUAAAGGCCCACCAAGGCGACGAUGCAUAGCCGACCUGAGAGGGUGAUCGGCCACACUGGGACUGAGACACGGCCCAGACUCCUACGGGAGGCAGCAGUAGGGAAUCUUCCGCAAUGGGCGAAAGCCUGACGGAGCAACGCCGCGUGAGUGAAGAAGGAUUUCGGUUCGUAAAGCUCUGUUGUUAGGGAAGAAUGGAUAUGUAGUAACUAUACAUGUAAGAGACGGUACCUAACCAGAAAGCCACGGCUAACUACGUG
rnacentral:rRNA from 1 species